UGGGGAAUAUUGCACAAUGGGCGCAAGCCUGAUGCAGCCAUGCCGCGUGUAUGAAGAAGGCCUUCGGGUUGUAAAGUACUUUCAGUCGGGAGGAAGGUGUCAAGGUUAAUAACCUUGGCAAUUGACGUUACCGACAGAAGAAGCACCGGCUAACCCCGUGCCAGCAGCCGCGGUAAUACGGAGGGUGCAAGCGUUAAUCGGAAUUACUGGGCGUAAAGCGCACGCAGGCGGUUGAUUGAGUCAGAUGUGAAAUCCCCGGGCUCAACCUGGGAACUGCAUUCGAAACUGGCAGGCUAGAGUCUUGUAGAGGGGGGUAGAAUUCCAGGUGUAGCGGUGAAAUGCGUAGAGAUCUGGAGGAAUACCGGUGGCGAAGGCGGCCCCCUGGACAAAGACUGACGCUCAGGUGCGAAAGCGUGGGGAGCAAACAGG
rnacentral:rRNA from 1 species